rnacentral:rRNA from 1 species
UACGGAGGGUGCGAGCGUUAAUCGGAAUUACUGGGCGUAAAGCGCGCGUAGGCGGUUAAAUCAGUCAGAUGUGAAAUCCCAUGGCUUAACCUUGGAACUGCAUUUGAAACUGUUUAACUAGAGUUUUGUAGAGGGUGGUAGAAUUUCAGGUGUAGCGGUGAAAUGCGUAGAUAUCUGAAGGAAUACCGGUGGCGAAGGCGGCCACCUGGACAAAGACUGACGCUGAGGCGCGAAGGCGUGGGUAGCAAACGGG